rnacentral:lncRNA from 1 species
CUGCGGCCGACGGCGGAAAACACCAAGGCACCCGGGGAGGGGGCGACCCGAUGUGGCGGGGAGGAGUAGGAGAGACCAGGAUUGGCGGGAGCGGUCCAAGGGAGUCAGCCGGGGAGGGCGAAAAGGGUGGGGAAAUCAGGGGCAUGGGGGCGUGGGGGCGUGGAGGCGUGGGGGCGGGGGGAGUGAGCGGAACCAAAGAAGCUCCGGGAGAUCCGGGUGUUAAAAGCUGGUUGGAUGUGAGUGGAAGGAACUCAGAAUAUAGGAGGAAGGAGACCCGAAACGGCACCGGAGGGAUUAUAAAAAAAAGGAAAAGAAUGGGGAUGAUGGUGGCCUUCCCUUCAGUGAGUGGGCUCUGGGAGAAAGGGAGGAGGAUCCAUCAGGCCUAGGCGGUUGAAGAAGGUUAAGAACCUUUUGGAGAUGGAGGAGGUAUGAUGUGAAGUAGCCCACCCCGUCGAAGGCAUUUACAUUGCUGGCGCAUUCCCUCCUCUUACCGGCCUUUUCCACCUCAGAUCCCCCUGUCCUACCCAUCCUAGCUUUAACUCAGCCAUAAUUGCCUUGCUUAAUCCCAGGAACCUGGCCACUGCUCCUUGGUCCUUGGCAUUAUGACGGGAUUCCCUUGUCACCUCUGACAGUUCCUGGCUGCGGUGUCCGCGGACUGGCUGGGGAGUGAUGACAGAAGGGAUGGAAACCCUAUUUUCUUUUCUCCAAGACCAUGGUUGGUCUGCUUCCCUCACUCGGGCUCCUUGACAGUCUUCUAGAAGAGAGGAGGAGGAAAAGAAGCAGUUCCUGAUGUUACAAAUGAACAAGGAUCUCCCAGAAAACAGGAAGAAUGUCAUGCACCGUGUGGAUCACCUUCAGUUCAAAGUUGCAGCAAAGUGAAGAAACUACUGGAAGCCACCCAGCAAUGCACUGUUUAGUCAUCAAUUAGGAGCCCAUGGGAGGAUAAUAGGGAGACUGGGUGGAGGCUCAGUGUGUAAUAAUCUCUUGUCUAAUGUAUGUGUGUCACUGCCAUGUUGUAUGAACAAUAGUGAGGGCUCACAUUUACUUAACACUUGUGUACUCAAAUCUGGGUUUUUCUUUCUUUCCAGAACUAUGACUCAAUCAUAAAAUCUGUUUUGUUUGCAUGCAUGCCCAAAACAACCCUAUAGGUAGAACAUUAUCAUUAUCUCUGUUUUAGAGAUGAGGAAACAGGCUCAGAGAAGCUCAGAAAUUUGUUCAAGAUCGCACAGCUAGUAAAUGGCAGAAGUAGGAUUGUGAACCCAGGGAAUCUCCAGAGCCUCUGUGUAACCAUGAUAUUAUAUUUUUUUCCUCUUUAAAAACAAAAUUAAAAACCUUGCUAUAAUCUCUUAUUAGGAAAAGAUCAUAGUUUCUGAUUGUGCUCUGCCUUCCCAUCCUGCCAAUCUCCUGGACUGGGUUGGAGAAGACAGGGGGCCCCCGAGCUUCAUCUGUGACUCAAAGGAGUUUGCUGCUGUCUCCUGUGUCAGUGUCCCAUCUAUGCAGGAUCAGCACAGGACCCCCCUCGCCUUCCUACUUACACUCUAGCCUUUCCAUACAUUGGCAUUCUCUCCUGGCCCUAGCCAGCGCUCCACACCUGUUGGUGUGCCACCUCCCUCCCUCUUCCCCCACUGGCCUUGAACAGGCAAACCCCCUAAUGUUGCCCCUAGGUUGGGUCCAUGACUAGGACACCUGCUAGACGGUCUGUGCUUGGGCCUUUUCUAGGAAUCCUGAUGUUACUGGGUAAGUGCCAACUCUGUGGGCAGAAUGCUAAUGAUAAUCCUGUUCCCUAACCUCUUUCUCAGAAGUACCCUGGCUCACUCUCCCCAAUCUCAGCUUUAUAGAACAACAUUUUGGUCUUGAUUAUUCCCAUAUCAAGCUGCCCCAGGGCUUCGGUAAGCUGUUAGUUGCCCCACUGCCUCAAGGCUGGGUCUGGCUGAGCUACUUUCUUAUGCACACAAAUAAUGGGUGUCUCCUUGGAACCUGACACAAAACUAUCAGUGCUACCAAGCCUUGUAAAAUAGGGAAGAAACUAAUAUUUCUUGAGUGGCUUCUGAGUGCCUGGUGCUUUCACGGCUCUCUGGAGAGAUUCCUUGCCCUGAUGCCUUUGGUGUGUACUCCUCUCCCAGGACUUCAGCACUGAGAUUUUCCCAACCCCCUGGCUUUUCCUCACCUUGGGUUGAGUUGAUCCGGCACUACCACAAACCCCAGCAUCUGCAAACCAACCAAGAUUAGGCAGUAUGCCCUUUCCGUCUUGCACUGCUCUUCCAAAACUUCCAUCUGUAUUUCUCACACCCUCAGUAAGCAAAGCUGAGUGUGCGUAGACAGAGCUGCAUCCACUGCUUUCUCCCAACGGGUGCAGUCUAAUCUGACACGGGGAACACUAGGAGUUUAGCGGAAUCUUCAGCCACCCUAUUAAUGUGUUACGCAUUAGGCAUUGUAGUGGAAACUACUCUGACGGCUCAUGAUUAUAUGAACAGGAGCAAUUUGGAAUAUAACAUGUCAGCCGUGGACUGGGAGGUGCCGUAAGAGAAAACACUACCAGGGUCAUAGGCUUGGGUCCUUGAGGCAACCUAGCAGGGACGCUGUUGCCCAUUCCUCUCAUCCAGACUGCAGGUAUCUUCCUACACCUCCCUGUCCCAUAGCCUCCGUCCUGUUUUUUGUUUGUUUGUUUUUCUUUGUGAAUGUAGAAAAACAUUUCAUCAUGAGCCCUAGCUCCUCAGUUUUCCACCUAACACCCACAUUCCCUUGUUUCUAACUGCCGUGUUUUUCUGGAGCCUGCUGGGAUCUUUGCAGUUUGCAGAUCAUAGAAUCAGACAUGAAAAGGCUUCUCUUCAGACGUCAUUGGUUCCUGGCUCCUUUACAGAUGAGAACACAGGCCCAGAGGUGAGAAAUGACUCUAGCAGGGUCAUAGAAUUUGUUAGUGCAGCUCAAGAUGGGACUUAAACUCAGGCCUCCUGAUCACAUCCCAUUCCCAGGCUAGGAAACAGGUCUCUGCUCGGUGUGGUGGUUCAUACCUGUAAUCGCAACACUUUGGGAGGCUGAGGCAGGAGCGUUGCUUGAGCCCAGGAGUUCGAGACCAGUCUGAGCAACAUAGUGGGACCCUGUCUCUACAAAAACUUUAAAAAUUAGCUGGGCAUGGUGGCACACAUCUGUAGUUCCAGCUACUCGGGAAGCUGAGACAGGAGGAUCGCUUGAGCCCAGGAGUUGGAGGUUACUGAGCUAUGAUCGCACCACUGCACUCCAGCUUGGUGACAGUGAGACCCUCAAAAAAAAAAAAAAAAAGAAAAGAAAGAGGUCUCUACACAAGCCCGUGAUUCUUCAUGGCAAGGGAUAACAUCAGAAAUGUUUUAUUUUCUGCUAUUAGUUUCCAUUCCUUUCCCCAUCCAGGCAUAAAGAGAAACAAAAGACAAUGAUGGUAUUCUCUGUGUCCUCAGCUUUGGCACUUUUGUUGAUGUUGCUAAGGAGCAGUGACCUUGCUAAAAAGACUGAAUAAUCCACCCACUGAAUAGCUAACCUGGGAAGGAAAUGAAAAUUUCCUAUGUGGAUCUCCCCAAAUCCAUUGUUGUCACCAGGCCCUCCCAGAGCCUCCUCAGUUCCUUCACAGUGCAACCCUGUGUACUUGGCCCGCAACCCAAUAGUAUUGUGCCUCACUUCGCCUUCCAUGGGCAACUGCCCUCCCUUCUGG